AGUCGAGCGGUAGAGAGAAGCUUGCUUCUCUUGAGAGCGGCGGACGGGUGAGUAAUGCCUAGGAAUCUGCCUGGUAGUGGGGGAUAACGUUCGGAAACGGACGCUAAUACCGCAUACGUCCUACGGGAGAAAGCAGGGGACCUUCGGGCCUUGCGCUAUCAGAUGAGCCUAGGUCGGAUUAGCUAGUUGGUGRGGUAAUGGCUCACCAAGGCGACGAUCCGUAACUGGUCUGAGAGGAUGAUCAGUCACACUGGAACUGAGACACGGUCCAGACUCCUACGGGAGGCAGCAGUGGGGAAUAUUGGACAAUGGGCGAAAGCCUGAUCCAGCCAUGCCGCGUGUGUGAAGAAGGUCUUCGGAUUGUAAAGCACUUUAAGUUGGGAGGAAGGGUUGUAGAUUAAUACUCUGCAAUUUUGACGUUACCGACAGAAUAAGCACCGGCUAACUCUGUGCCAGCAGCCGCGGUAAUACAGAGGGUGCAAGCGUUAAUCGGAAUUACUGGGCGUAAAGCGCGCGUAGGUGGUUUGUUAAGUUGGAUGUGAAAUCCCCGGGCUCAACCUGGGAACUGCAUUCAAAACUGACUGACUAGAGUAUGGUAGAGGGUGGUGGA
rnacentral:rRNA from 1 species